AUUGAACGCUGGCGGCAGGCCUAACACAUGCAAGUCGAGCGGAUGAAGGGAGCUUGCUCCUGGAUUCAGCGGCGGACGGGUGAGUAACGCCUAGGAAUCUGCCUGGUAGUGGGGGAUAACGUCCGGAAACGGGCGCUAAUACCGCAUACGUCCUGAGGGAGAAAGUGGGGGAUCUUCGGACCUCACGCUAUCAGAUGAGCCUAGGUCGGAUUAGCUAGUUGGUGGGGUAAAGGCCUACCAAGGCGACGAUCCGUAACUGGUCUGAGAGGAUGAUCAGUCACACUGGAACUGAGACACGGUCCAGACUCCUACGGGAGGCAGCAGUGGGGAAUAUUGGACAAUGGGCGAAAGCCUGAUCCAGCCAUGCCGCGUGUGUGAAGAAGGUCUUCGGAUUGUAAAGCACUUUAGGUUGGGAGGAAGGGCAGUAAGUUAAUACCUUGCUGUUUUGACGUUACCAACAGAAUAAGCACCGGCUAACUUCGUG
rnacentral:rRNA from 1 species